GCCUACCAAGGCAUCGAUCAGUAGCUGGUCUGAGAGGACGACCAGCCACACUGGAACUGAGACACGGUCCAGACUCCUACGGGAGGCAGCAGUGGGGAAUUUUGGACAAUGGGCGAAAGCCUGAUCCAGCAAUGCCGCGUGAGUGAAGAAGGCCUUCGGGUUGUAAAGCUCUUUUGUCAGGGAAGAAACGGUGAAAGCUAAUAUCUUUUGCUAAUGACGGUACCUGAAGAAUAAGCACCGGCUAACUACGUGCCAGCAGCCGCGGUAAUACGUAGGGUGCAAGCGUUAAUCGGAAUUACUGGGCGUAAAGCGUGCGCAGGCGGUUUUGUAAGUCUGAUGUGAAAUCCCCGGGCUCAACCUGGGAAUUGCAUUGGAGACUGCAAGGCUAGAAUCUGGCAGAGGGGGGUAGAAUUCCACGUGUAGCAGUGAAAUGCGUAGAUAUGUGGAGGAACACCGNAUGGCGAAGGCAGCCCCCUGGGUCAAGAUUGACGCUCAUGCACGAAAGCGUGGGGAGCAAACAGGAUUAGAUACCCUGGUAGUCCACGCCCUAAACGACGUCUACUAGUUGUCGGGUCUUAAUUGACUUGGUAACGCAGCUAACGCGUGAAGUAGACCGCCUGGGGAGUACGGUCGCAAGAUUAAAACUCAAAGGAAUUGACGGGGACCCGCACAAGCGGUGGAUGAUGUGGAUUAAUUCGAUGCAACGCGAAAAACCUUACCUACCCUUGACAUGGCUGGAAUCCUUGAGAGAUUGAGGAGUGCUCGAAAGAGAACCAGUACACAGGUGCUGCAUGGCUGUCGUCAGCUCGUGUCGUGAGAUGUUGGGUUAAGUCCCGCAACGAGCGCAACCCUUGUCAUUAGUUGCUACGAAAGGGCACUCUAAUGAGACUGCCGGUGACAAACCGGAGGAAGGUGGGGAUGACGUCAAGUCCUCAUGGCCCUUAUGGGUAGGGCUUCACACGUCAUACAAUGGUACAUACAGAGCGCCGCCAACCCGCGAGGGGGAGCUAAUCGCAGAAAGUGUAUCGUAGUCCGGAUUGUAGUCUGCAACUCGACUGCAUGAAGUUGGAAUCGCUAGUAAUCGCGGAUCAGCAUGUCGCGGUG
rnacentral:rRNA from 1 species